rnacentral:lncRNA from 1 species
UUCUGUACUCUUCUUCCAAGUUCCAAUAUUGCAUUUGAAUGAGAAAGCAUCCUAAAAUCCUAAUGUCUUUCUUACGUGUUCAUGACCUGGAUCCUUUUGUCUUCUUAUCCAUAAAUCUUUCUAUAAUUUCUUGUCGUUGUUGGAGGUCCCAGGUACAGGUAGUAUGUAUAUUGCAUAGUAGUAGAACAUGUUAAGAACAUACAAAAAACUCCCCUCUAAAUUUCUACUGCUGAGAAGAAGAAAAGAAGAGCUUCUGUUCUUGUUGGGUAAUUUUUCUUUCUUAAUUUUCUACUCUGAUUUUAAUGAUAUUGAAGAUUUUGAUUGAUUUAACGAUUUGGGUUUCUUGCGUUAUUUUGAUAUUUCCUGAAUUUCUUCACUUUUUCUGAUCUUCUAUGCUUUGAUCACCCUCUUUGAAAAUUAGGGUUUGUGCACAUCACUUUGAUUUGGGGGGGGAGUUAAUAUACUGUGGUAAGAACAGAAGAAGAUCUAGCUAGCAUGGCAGUAGAACAAAAUAAAUCCAAAAAGUCAAAAUAUCAGAUUAUUUAUCCCCGAUCACCCUCAAUUCUCAAUUAUGAUAUAGGCUUUACUUAGAUAUCAUUAUUUCUGUAACAUAACAUGUCUGUUCUUGUUGGUAGAGAGAGAGCAUCAGAAACAUGUUUCUCCAUUGCAAAACAAACCAAAAUAACCCACUACAAACACCAUUGCAAAUGAAGAAGCUCAACAACACUCAGGAGGAAGAGGAGUACUACUGCCCAAUUUUACCUGGAUUACCAGAUGAUUUGGCCAAAUACUGCCUAGCACUUGUUCCAAGAACAUGUAUGUCUUCCAUGAGCAAUGUCUGCAAACAAUGGAGGUCAUUUAUUCAAAAUAAGGAGUUUAUUGUUCUAAGAAAGGAAGCUAGGAAAGUUGAGGAGUGGGUGUAUUUUCUAACUGUUGAUGAACAAGGCAAGAGAACUCAAUGGGAGGUAUCGAGCUUCUCUGGCAAAGAACCAAACCAUCGACUCCUUCCUCCAAUGCCGGGUCCGGUGAAGUUUGGUUUUGGCAUUGCCGUCUUUGAUGGUAAGCUUUUGGUGAUUGCUGGCUAUGCCAUGGAUGAAUCCAAACAAGAGCAAGUUUCUUCUGAUGUUUAUCAGUAUGAUUCUCGUCUUGAUAGGUGGAGCAUGUUGGCGAAUUUGAAUGUUGGUCGGCGGGAAUUUGCUUGUGCAGAAGUUGGUGGGCUUGUUUAUGUAGCAGGGGGUUAUGGACUCCAUGGUGAGAGCAUAUCAAGUGUGGAAGUGUACAGCCCAGAAAACAAAGCAUGGGUAUUGAUACAAAACCUUCCUCGUUCAAGAUGGAGUUGCUUUGGAUGUGGUGUUGGCGAAAAGCUCUAUGUAAUGGGCGGUCGAUCACGCUUCACAAUUGGAAGUUCCAGGUAUGUAGACAUUUACGAUCCAAAGAACAAGACAUGGUGCCAGAAUAAGAAUGGUUGUGUCAUGGUCACUGCAUAUGCCGUGCUUGGUGAUAAACUUUUCUGUAUGGAAUGGAAGGAUCAAAGGAAGAUUGCGGUGUUUGAUUUCUCGAAUAAUUCGUGGAAGAAGGUGUCAAUCCCAGUAAUGGGAAAUUCAUGUGUUAAGCUCUGCUUUGGAACAUUCAAUGGAAAACUGCUUCUUUUUUCGUCAAAUAUGGAGCGUGAAUACGAAACGCUCGUAUAUGAUCCUAAAGCUCCAACUGGGUUGGAAUGGAAAUCUUCAGCGUCUUUCAAACCACCACCAAGAUCAUGUUUGAGGAGUGUGACAAUUCAUGUCUGAAGUUGUGGUUGCUUUGAAUGUGAAUAACUAAGUUUCCCUUAAAUUCUGAAAAUGUUAUUUUAAAAAAAAUCAACAUGACAUUGUGAAAUGUAUAGUUGAUGAACAAAAUUUUAAUGCCCUUCAGCUAAUAAUCCUACCUCAGUGUCUUGGAAUAAAUAUAUGCAAAAAAAGUUAAAAGAUGCCCUGAAAUAAAGAUUAUAUAUAAUUUUGGCUUAUAAACAAUACAAUGAUUACAUAUUCAAUAUAUUCAUUUAUAAUUCACAAUUAUCUAAAUUACAAGUUUAAAAUCUAAUAAAAAACUUUUGAUCUUCUGACCAAUUGUGCUGUGAUUUUAUCAUCAGAUAUGUCCUGAAAUGAAAAUAUCCUUUUGUUCUAAUUUUAUUUUGGGUGCAGGAAAGAUCAUUUUCUCUCCAGUUACAUGAUUUUCACAGAUUUGGAUAAGAUUCAGACAUGAUCAAAACAACAAGCGAAGUCCAACCAGUAAAAGGAUGGCAUCUUUGACCCUUCCCUUCAUUUUCCUGAUCAUAUUGUUCCCACAAAAAGCCAGUUUCAUGGUAGUUGCGGACGAUAUUUCUGCCAAAGAAAUGGUCAGUCAAGGUCAGUACUUCACCAGUAAGGAAGAAAUAGCCAUUUUAACAAAACCAAAAUUUAUCAAGAAAAAAUGCCAACCUUAUAACAUUAUUUCUAAGCUCUACAUAUAUAGUCCUUGCCCGGUCUCUGUAUGGCCCUUUUUCUGUAAAUAUCUCUUUGAUUAUUCAAAUCGAUUUCAAAUAAAUAAUACAAGUUUUUCUAAAUUACUAUACUUACUUUGAGAAUAGUGAUGGAGUGCCGAAAGCGUCAUAUAGUUCAUGUUAAUCCAAAUGGGGCCUCUCCAAUAUGGUGGAUCGUGCUCAGUAUUGCGUUUCAUAUAUAGAGUACUUAGCAAAUACAAGUAAAUGAAAAUGAGAUCACUUAAAUAGCCUAAAGGAAUUUAUAGACAAGUCAAUUUUUUUUCUAUCUAUACUUUUUUUAAAUAUUGCACACGAAGAUUUAAUUGAAAAAAUCUAUAGCCAGUUACCUUGUUUUGGCAAGAGAACGAAUCCCAUGUUCCGUCCACAAGGCUGAAGGGUCAGAAAUCAACUCCAAUUGUUUCUCAAGAAUCCAAGAUUCCUGAAAUUACAAGCAUGGCCAACUCCUAAAAAACAUUUCUUGAUUUCUUCAACCAAAUUAGAGUUUUGGCUUUAUCAAGUAUGUAAACUUACAGAUGGAAUUGUCCCCAUCAUGAAUGGGAAAAGACUGAGAUAACCAACAUGAGGAACUAACGAUGGUUGAGGGCUUUUCAACACCUUUCGAAGAAGUUCACGCUUCAUAAAGUUUCCCUCUUUCACUUCAAACCAUUUAAGGCGUACCUAUAUUUUUUCAAUUAGGAACCAAAAUUAUCACAUUUCAGGAAAACUAUUCUGGUGUAGGUUUCACAAAAAAAAUUAUAUAAGAAAUAAAAUACUGAAAAUUGUAACCUGAAAUAUACAUUUAUAUUAUUUAAUUUUCUCUCUAAUAAAAUCCUCUACAUAAGAAAUAAGAAUAACAUUCUUACUUUCUCAGUGUGGUUUCCAAAAUCAAAAUAUGCUCCAGAUUUGACAUCUAAGUGCAUCUGCAAUUAAAAAAAAAUAACAUUUAGAGGAAAAAGAAGGUUCAAAACCUCUACUUAAAUUUAAAGACAUGAAAUGGACUCCAACUAAAACUAAAACUCAUAGAUUGAAAGUAUAACAUAGAUUGACCAACUAAAACUCAUGAAAGUGAACAAAUGGUAAUUUGAGUAUCUGACCUAAUGAUAGCACAAGAAAUUAAACAGUUAAUUACUUAACAUACAACGUUCAAAAUCAUUUAACAAGACCAUUUAAAAAACUAGACAAAACAUUAUGAAAUGGUUAAGAAUUAGAAAUGCAUUUACAACGUAAAUAAACAAUGCUAAAUAACAAGAAAUCUUGUGAAUGUUAACACCUGAUAGGCUGAAGAGUGAUAGACAACAAUCUCUAUUCGCUAACAUACUUAAAAGAAGAAAAGGAAUCUACGUAGUAAAAUUACCUCGUUGAGGUUCUCAAAAUUAGAAAGAUAUUCAACCAUCCUAUCGUAACCCUGCUUGUACCACACAAAGACAGAUAUAAUCAUAUGAUAAAAGAAAGAACAUCCAUUGCAAAAAAGAAACUCUUAAAUACUUUUUCUAAAGAAUCUUUAUUUCCAAAAACUUUUGCAAUUGACUGCAAGCAAUCUGCUGCGAGAAGCAUCCAACAUCUAAGGUCCAAAUGGCGCUCGAUUUCACUUGGGUGAGAUGCUCGUGGAUAAUCAUCCAACCCUGACAUCAAUGUCUGUAUAGAAAUUUUAAAUCAGAGAGGAUACACACAUCAAAAUCCAGUUAACAAAACCGUGCUAUCUCAUAUUUUAAGAUACUUGUCAAUGCAAAUGAAUGAGAAAAGAAAAACAUGAAAAUAAUUACAAUUGCAGUAAGUUUUGAAGAUUAAAAUAAUAAUUAUUAUUAUUGAUAAGGUGUGAAGAGUUUUUUUUUUAAUUUAUUAUGCGAGUUGGUAUCCAUCAUUGUUGGAAAAUUAGCAUAAACAAAAUAACGGGGAAGGAAUAUCAAAUAGCAUUGUAGAUGACUAGAUGAUAUACAACCCCUCUGGGCCUCUAAUGAUUUCAAAAUGGUUGAGGAUAAAUUUGUGAUUUAUCUCUCAUGGAUAGUGAAAAGACGACUGAGAGUAUGGCAUGCAAUAGUUGGUUAAAAUUUUGUCUCCAAUUCUCUAAACAGUAAAUAAAUCUCCUAUACAUUCGAUUGAGGAAUAACAAACAUUGGAGGAAUAAUACACAAAAUAGAUUUAGGUAAAUCUAAAUGGGCAUAGGAUUGAAGGUAGAAAAAUGACUUUCCACAUAAAUUUACGAUUUUCAGAACAUAAAGCUAUUAGCUAUAUAUGAUAUAUCGAUUAAAGUUGCAUUGAAAUAAUUCAAAGUGGCAUAAAAAAUGGAGUAUAUUGAAAGAGAAAGAAAACCUUUGGAUUGAGCUCCCGCAUUGUGAUAUUAUCUCUCCCAUGCCAAUAAUAGGUAUACAUUUCUUUCCCUAAAACACAUACAGAAAAUCUAUUUCAAACAAAAUCCAAAAACCAAAAACCUAUGAAUAUAUUGAAAUAUUGAUAUCUAUAGAGAAAAUUUAGGUGUAGUCUGACACUCUGACUACAAUACUACGUCAUGCAACUGUCAAUGCAAACAUAUUCCACCUAUUGGAGGUGCAAAUAUUUCAUUUGUGCCUAACAAGAAUAUGUGAACAUUAAACAAUAACAUCACACAUUGACUUUGUUCUAAAUAUAUACACAAAAAUUAGAUCUGCACUUUUGAUUACCUUGCAAUAAAUUCCAUUUUACAAAUUUAUAGUAUGCAAAAAAUUAGAAAAAAUACGGCAUGCUCAAAUUAAAUCAGUGAAUACUAUUUUGGAUACCUGAUUGAGUGGUAUUGAACCAUUGAAACCACGCUUCAAGGCGAACAAGCGCUCUUUCUAAGAAAGUUAAUAUCUUAAUUCUUUCACUAUCAGAGUACAUGUUUCUUUGCAUUCCAUUUAUUAUAUCUAAGAACCAACAAACAACAUAAUAUUAAAAUUGUCAUUGAUAAGUCGAUAAAUAUUUUUUUACUAGAAAAGAACAUUGGUGGAGCAAAAGUAAUUCAGGAAACUUAAUAGUUAAUAGUGUCCUUGGACUCUGAGUCCUGCGAAAAGAACUUUUUGCAUAUAAUAUUUUUGUAAACUGGGCAAUAGCCUUAUUUUCUAAUGAAAUUUAAUUGCUUCAAAAAAAAAAAAAGAUGAUGACGAAGAUAAAAACAUAAAAAGAAUGGACUUUUAGAGAAAAUUAUUUACCCAAAGUCAUCACUGUAAGGAAUUUUUUAAAAACUGCAUUCAUAUAUUAUAUAACCAGUUUUUAAAAAAAAUUGUGGAACUAUAUACCAAAAUAACAUUUUAAUAUAAAAAUGUGAACACCAUAUAUAGUUAUCUAAUAUUUAUCAGAGACAUGGAUGCAGAUUUGAUAAUCUAAAAGGACAAUUCUUUCCAAUAAUAAUAAUAAAAUAUUGUCACUGGCUUUUCCAAAAAAAUCCAUCGUUUUGGCUUCCUGAAAAUCAGAUUUACACACAAAACUACAUUUCCAAAAGCUAAACUUACAAAUUGGUCCAUCUGUUUAACCAUUUUGAAAAGUUAAGUUUCCUGGGUUUUUUGUAAAAACCUAAUCAAGUUUCAUAUACAAAUUCAGAUAUUAGCAGAUAUAUAUUCUGUUGUACUUGGAUCAGUUGUAUGCCAGAUAUUAGUUAUACCUCAUUCCACCAACCUUUGUAAUUAUAAACAAACCAAUAGAAUUAUCAACAAAGUCAUUUAAAAAAUUCAAGAAUUCAAGUUCUUAUCCUUUAUAAUUAUAAGUUCUAAAGUUCCUAAAUUUAUGCUUAAACUUUCAAGGAAGCCUUCAUUUUUUUUUGCAACAAUUAAAUGAAGAGUAGUACCCUGAAAUUUCAAGUGGAAAAGAAAUAGAAUGUGGUAAGGUUGACAAAGUGGUUUCCUACACUAUCGACCUUCUCCUAUAUAGCUUGUGCUUUUAGUGAUCAAGUAACUAAAAACUAAGCCUCAGGAGGUUUGUCUCCCAAACCUGCAUAAUAGUCUUCACUCCUCAGGAUGCAUUCACUUUACACCUUCCGAGAAGAGCUUUAUCUUACACUAAUUUCAUCAAACAUUCAAAUCUUAUUUGAUCAUUUUGAUGUGUAAUAAAAGAAUAAGAAAACCAAACAUAAACUAAUGAAGUUUAAACCUAGAGUAUUGUGAAGAUGGGAGCUCACCCCGAAAAACAAGAAAAAGUGUCGGUGGAUUUCCAUUUGAUGGAUGCUGAGGAAUGAAUUCUUCUGGGACUUUGCUGCAUAUUUUGAAAAAGGAAUUUGCAAGCAGUUAAUGUUAUUGAAGUAUAAGACCAUACCAAGGAACAAAUUGUUAAUAUACUUUCUAUGAUACAAAUCGAAAAUGUCCUACCUUAAAGCUUCAGCUCCCAAGAUCUGUUCACGUGGAAUCCAUCCAUCAACAUUGAUUAAAUCUAACCAAUGCCCAAUAAUAUCCAAACAGAUAUCAAUGUCCCAUCGCCUGCCAAAAAAAAUCCAUGUCAUAAAAACAAUAGAUAAAAUUUAUAAGAACCUCGUAUUAUGAGAAUCUAAAAAUCCCAUAAAAUCUAAAAAUCGAACAAUAGUAUUAUGAUUCUAUGAAAAUCUGAUUCGGAAGAAAACCAACCAAACAAGUAGCUGAUGGAAACCUUCAUCCCACAAAAAACCCCUAGGAAAGAAAGACCGGCUAGGCACAGCAGUAUAAAGUGAAGCAGGCCAGUAUGGAAUAAAUGUUUUCCCAUCUUUAAGCUGCAGAAAGUAACACAUCUCCUCUAAGAUUCAUCAUUUAUGAGAAGAAUACAUAAAUAUUUACAUGUUCUUUUUUUGUCUUUCGUCAUACAAUAGAAAUUUAAUUUUGAAGCAAUAUAGAAAAACAGCUAACGAUGUAAGUAAUUUCAUAUUAACUAAAUUUUUUAUGUUAGUCUUACAAACAAAUAGACAAUAGUUAAAUGCACUUGUAACACUUCAAAGCAUAAAGCUAAUAAAAAUGAAAGGGCAUAUCCCUGAUUACAAAUAUAUAGGGAAUGAGUGUAAAUUCAUUGUCCAUUUCUAUACAGCUCAUUCUAACAGUAUUUAAAUUUUAAAUAACUAUAGACUCAGAUUGCUAGACUCCCAAGAUUUUUAUCCAUUCUUUUCAAUCAUAGUUUCAUUAUGUUUUUGAAGAAUGAAGCAUUGACGAAAAUGCUAACAUCUUUGAUGAGUUAUGAGCUCAUUGCUUGUUUGCUCUCAUUGAAGAUGUGUUACUUGAGCCUCCUAUUCCUCUCACAACAUAUGUGCCAUGAGAAGGAGGCCAAUGCACGAUGCACCGGCACUGAACAUACAAGAUUAAUAUGAAUACUAAAAUACUUAGAAAUAGACAAAUAUAGCCAGAGGAAAGCUUGCCGGAGAUGGCGAUCGAAAAUCUUGAUAGGAUAAUUCACCAAUUAUCCACUUCCAGAUUCAGAUCAGGAAAUAUUCUCCCUCACGAGUUAAAGGUAGCACUCACACUCGACAGUAAUUAUGUUCCAAUGAUAUUAGAUCUAAUCUGAAUAUCUGAGCAAUCAAAAUAAGAAAACAAUUAAGAUCAGAGAAUAAGAACACGCAAUAUUUUAUAGUGGUUCCACCCAAGAAUGGUGCACUUCCACUUGGUGAUUUCUAUUGAUGGUAGAAAUUGAGAUUAGGUUUUCAGCACUAUAAUAAUAGUAUAUAUAGUGUAGUAUUAACUUGGGCCCAUUCCAAGUUAAUGACUCAUAAUUGGCCCAAUAAGUAGGGUACCAAUUAAAUAGUCUCCAAUACCACUUAUAACUCCCAUUGAUUGCAUAAACCUUAACAAAGCUCUCCGGAGGGAGAUGGAUUUUGAAUGUUGGGGGGGAGAAAUAGGGAAGGAAAUAACCAACUUGCGAUUCAGAUCUGUUUGAAUCGCGAGUGCAGCCUAAUUCCGAGUAGAUAUGCAUCGCCCUGGCUGGGGCACUGGCGCCUAAGAACAUAUAGGCACAUGUACUAGGAUCCUUGAUGCAGAUAUAUAUGUGUCAUGGAUCUGGUGAGAAGGUCAGAUCUGUAUAAACUAAUUGCAAACCGUACUAAUUCGUUUACACUGAAACUACAACCUUCCCAUGUAAGAAACAUCCACACCUGAUCCUUCACAUGUAAUCGGCAUACACAACUUUUUGGUAUCUUUUCCUAUUCCUCUCAACCGUCAUCGGCGACUUCGAGCAAUCUCAUAUGACUUCAAAAAAGAUCCAACAGGCUAUUGAAGACCUUUCGAAGGCCAAUGAGACCCCCAGACGCCAGACAUAACUUUUAGAGUAUUGAUAAGCCUUUCAGAUUGUUCCCUUGGUGCUAAUAGAAUUUUUUUAACCUUGUCAAUAACCUUCGUUGGAAGGUGAAACAUUACAGACCUUUAACUGAAAAUACCUUAAUUGUACGUGAAUAGUCAUUUUGUUAAAAUCUAAUCUCCCUAAAUUGUAAAUAACAUAAUCAAUGAAUGUUUAGGAGGGAUCGAUCACUUGAUCUCCCCCAUCUCCCAUAAACUUCCCCAUUGUUCUCACUAAUACAUUUUGAAUGAGCAAAUUACUACUUACUAUAAAGAAUAUUUAGAUCACCCCAAUGAAUUUAGUAAACCAAAUUACAAAAAAUAAAUCUUAAUGUCACCCAUAGAUAAAAAUGAUUUAAAAAGUUACAUAAAUACAAUUAUACAAAUCAUGAUUCAAAAGCUAAUAUUAACUUACAUUCAAACCUUUAGGAAGUGCAAUUUUCGACUCUCCAUAGAAAAAUCCAAUACCACCCAUAAGAUUUCCCAGCGCUGCUUUACCAACAACCAUAGAAUCUGGAUCAACCUGUGAAAAAAAUGAACUUUCUUUCUUAAUACAAGCCAACUUCUAUAACAGAAACAAACUAGAAAAAAAUAUGUUAUCACAAGGACAGCAUCUCCCUAUCACAUUCGACAUUCAUAAUUAAUAAAUGAUGAUUUUUAUUGAAGGAUGGAGGGUUUGGUGGACUAAUUCUAGAAAAGGAUCUGGUACGAAACCAUGAUUUCAUUAGAGGGAGUAUCUCUGUAUAAAAUACUAUAUCAGUACAUCUUCACCACCAAAGUGAAGCACUACUGACUAUAAAAGUAAAGUAAAAAUCUCUAAAUACAAUUACAUUCUAAUUAUCUAAAUGCUUAGUGUAAUCACAAUUUUGUUUCUUCAUAAAAGAACUACAUGUAUCAUGAUUCGUGACAUUAAUCAUGUAUUUUAAAAUAAUUGAAAGUUAAAUAUUUUUAUACAGAUUGUGGAAGGCAAUGCUGGUGGAUUUGGAAUUGAAUCCAACAGUAGAACUCAGGGGAAUUAGAUUAGAAAAUAUUCAGAUCUCAAAUAGAUUUCCAGCAAAUUAAUCUAGAUUGGAAUCCACUAAUCUAUACUAUGAAGGUGGGGGGCAGGGACACCCCAUACUCUGAGUGUGGUAAAGGAUGGGAGGUAGCUCCACCUCAGUCUCCAUAGGAAAACAGAGAAUUUGGUAGAUUUCUUGGACCAAAUGCCUUUAGCCAAGGAGUCAGGCUGUCGGAGAGGUUAGGUAGAAAAGUAGGGAAAAGAAAAGGUAGAAGAUAGUGAAUUACCUUUGAAAAUGGAAUAAAAUUGUAAUCAACUUCUCCACCCAGGUCCACUCAUAUUUAUACUCUCAUUGUGUGAGAGUGAAAAUCCACAAUGAAAGUCACAGCCUAAUUAGAAGGCUAGGGCCAUGGCUCGAGCUAACUCGAGCCAAGGAUCAGCUAUAGCAUUGUAGCGACCUACAUCAAAAACAUAGCACAUAAUGCCCAGAACUAAUUUCAAAUUGAAAACUAAAGAAAUACUAAUGGACCCAGAAGUCGAAAAUGCAAUCGCUGAAUAUAUAAAUGAUGAAAUUAUUGGAAUCAUAGAAUAAAGAUAAUAUAUGAUGACGAAAUUCUGAAAAUGUGAUGAGUUUAUAUGCAAUUGAAGAUGACAAUUACACAUAAUACAUGUAUCUUAUUAGUUAUAAAGAUUUCAUUUAACAAACCUUAUCUACGAGAUUGAACCGUUGAAUGUACUCUGCUUCGUAUUUUUUCCCUUUCUCCCUCAACUGGCUGCUCAGAAAAGUUCCUGAAUCCACAUUGGCACAUGUUAGAGAUUAACACGGAUUCUAUUCUUUUUAUAAUUGAACCAUGGGAUAUAACAUAUAACAGAUAUGUUUAUCAUAGUUAAUUGGUGAACCAAAAAAAGGUGGUGCAAAAAACACUAUGAUCGAAGUAAAUAGAAAAAUCCAUAGAAAAUCCAGUUGUUUUCUCUGAGUAACAAUGUAACAUCCAAAUCAUCUAUAAUUCAUAACGAGUUUAACCAUCCAAACCUGAUAGAUUAUCAAUACGGUGAUCAACAUUUGACUUGUCCACCCCAGAUAAAAAGGUUAUAUCAAAUUUAGUAGGGAGCUUCCCAGAUACCUUUGGGUCAAUGAAAAAAAAAUAAAACCCAUAAAUUGCAGUAUUACACAAAAUAAAAUGAUGCCUUGAAAUGAAUAAGUUUGAAGAAACAAAAAGAAGAGAAAUAAUCACGAGAAUAAAAUAUUGGAAAUAAUAUAUUUCUAAAUACUAGGAAGAAAUACAUCGCAGAGUUAGUUACAAAAAUUAUGAAUUAAAACUUGUGAGAUAAGCAAAUAUAUAGUCAAGACUGUCAAGUUACACAGACACCCCAUUCUUUAUUGAAGAUUUGAAGAUAUUUGAUUUGUGCAUUCUAACAUUUCUAAGAAUAUAAAAUGUUAUUUAAUUUUUUUUUAGAUGUUCCCCUUGUUAAUAUUCGUUAAUUUAUAUUUUCAAAUUAAAAGAAAAAAUCUCUGGGAAUACCUGAAAAAAUAAUGCAUUUGAGUUGUAUUCAAUUGUGUCAGGUAGCUGCAAAAGCCCAGUUUGUCUUGCCUGUGUACCAUCCAGUAAUAGCAAUGACGAAACAUCAGAUGGAAC